AAUGAACGCUGGCGGUAGGCCUAACACAUGCAAGUCGAACGGCAGCACAGUAAGAGCUUGCUCUUACAGGUGGCGAGUGGCGGACGGGUGAGGAAUACAUCGGAAUCUACUUUUUCGUGGGGGAUAACGUAGGGAAACUUACGCUAAUACCGCAUACGACCUACGGGUGAAAGCAGGGGAUCUUCGGACCUUGCGCGAUUGAAUGAGCCGAUGUCGGAUUAGCUAGUUGGCGGGGUAAAGGCCCACCAAGGCGACGAUCCGUAGCUGGUCUGAGAGGAUGAUCAGCCACACUGGAACUGAGACACGGUCCAGACUCCUACGGGAGGCAGCAGUGGGGAAUAUUGGACAAUGGGCGCAAGCCUGAUCCAGCCAUACCGCGUGGGUGAAGAAGGCCUUCGGGUUGUAAAGCCCUUUUGUUGGGAAAGAAAAGCAGCAGGUUAAUACCCCGCUGUUCUGACGGUACCCAAAGAGUAAGCACCGGCUAACUUCGUG
rnacentral:rRNA from 1 species